GCCUUCUUGGCUCAGUUGGUUAGAGCGCAGGUCUCAUAGUCUAUAUGAGGUGCGAAAUGCACUGCAAUCCUGAGGUCGUGAGUUCGACCCUCACAGAAGGCA